AUUCAGUCACUGAGGCAGCCUUUAAAAACAUUUCAAUAUCAUUUGUUUAGCAAUUUUUUCUAAUUUACUUUUUUGAUUUUUGUUCCUGAAUUUUAAUUGGUACGAAAAAUUCAAGAACUUGUAUAUACUUACAUACAUAUGCGGAAAUCAUUAGUAAAAGAUUCAUUUAUUAUUUUUUGAGCGCUUAUUUAGAAGCGCUUGCAGUUGAGCUGAUAAACUGUAAGAAAAAAUUGAAAAUAUGAAAAAUGAUGUGGGCAUUUGACAUGCAAAUUCCCUUAGAAGGAACUGGAGUUAAUUUAAAAUUUCAAUGGUGUUGCAUAGAAUAUAACAUGAAGAAUAAAAAUUAACGCUUCGAAUGUUUCUUUAAACGAAAAACAUACCAACGCUUCCAACAUUCAGUAAAAAAAUUAAGAAGGUUGCUUCAUAACAUAUAAUGGCUAGAGGAAGGAAUUCUUUCAUUAUUGGGACAAAACUUUGUAUGUACAUAUGUAUAUUGUACAAUGAAAUAUAAAAGCGCUUGGAUGUUGUAUAAAAGGACUCUUCUCCUUCCAUAGCAGCCUUCAUUUUCAUUUCAAAUUUGGUUUAACGAGUUUCAACGUGGUCUCUUGGCGGUUUUGGAUAUUUCACACUCAGAUGCCAUGAAAACAAAAGUCCACAAUCUUAUAUUGGCAGAGCGCCGAUUGUAAGUGCGCUAGAUAGCUGAAAUAUAUAGUAGGUAUCUCAAAGGACUGUGUGGGGUCAUAUCUUGCAUGAAAUAUUAGAGAUGAGAAAGCUGUGGGUGCUUGGGUGCCGCAUUACAUCACUCCAGCCAACAAGUGUAUACGUGAGACAACUGCAUAGAACUGUUUGACCACUUGUGAAUUUCAAACAAAUUAUUUAUUUUUUUGCAUAUAUGUAUAUUGAAUGUACAAAUAUUUGAGAAUAUUUCGAAAUAAAUUCACUAUAACGAUUGGUUAUAUAGUAUUUAAUUAUA